UACAGAGGGGGCAAGCGUUGUUCGGAAUUACUGGGCGUAAAGGGCGCGUAGGCGGCCUGUUAAGUCGAACGUGAAAUCCCCGGGCUCAACCCGGGAACUGCGUCCGAUACUGGCAGGCUUGAAUCCGGGAGAGGGAUGUGGAAUUCCAGGUGUAGCGGUGAAAUGCGUAGAUAUCUGGAGGAAUACCGGUGGCGAAGGCGGCAUCCUGGACCAAUACUGACGCUGAGGCGCGAAAGCUAGGGGAGCAAACGGG
rnacentral:rRNA from 1 species